rnacentral:rRNA from 1 species
CCUACGGGUGGCAGCAGUGAGGAAUAUUGGUCAAUGGGCGGAAGCCUGAACCAGCCAAGUAGCGUGCAGGAUGACGGCCCUACGGGUUGUAAACUGCUUUUAUACGGGAAUAACGCGCCGUACGUGUAGGGCUUUGCAUGUACCGUAUGAAUAAGGACCGGCUAAUUCCGUGCCAGCAGCCGCGGUAAGACGGACGGUCCGGGCGUUAUCCGGAUUUAUUGGGGUUAAAGGGAGCGUAGGCGGCAUGUAAAGCGUGCUGUGAAAUGUCCGGGCUCAACCCGGGCCUUGCAGGGCGAACGGGCGUGCUUGCGUCCGCGGCACGCAGGCGGAAUUCGUCGUGUAGCGGU